rnacentral:rRNA from 1 species
GACAGAGGGUGCAAACGUUGUUCGGAUUUACUGGGCGUAAAGCGCGUGUAGGCGGCUUUGCAAGUCGGAUGUGAAAGCCCACGGCUCAACCGUGGAAGUGCAUCCGAAACUGCAUGGCUGGAGUCUCGGAGAGGAAGGUGGAAUGCUUGGUGUAGAGGUGAAAUUCGUAGAUAUCAAGCAGAACACCUGCGGCGAAGGCGGCCUUCUGGACGAUGACUGACGCUGAGACGCGAAAGCCAGGGGAGCAAACGGG